rnacentral:rRNA from 1 species
UACGGGGGGGGCAAGCGUUGUUCGGAAUUACUGGGCGUAAAGGGCUCGUAGGCGGCCACCUAAGUCAGACGUGAAAUCCCUCGGCUCAACCGGGGAACUGCGUCUGAUACUGGGUGGCUUGAAUUCGGGAGAGGGAAUGCGGAAUUCCAGGUGUAGCGGUGAAAUGCGUAGAUAUCUGGAGGAACACCGGUGGCGAAGGCGGCAUCUGGACCGACAUUGACGCUGAGUGAGCAAAGC